UACGUAGGGCGCAAGCGUUGUCCGGAAUUAUUGGGCGUAAAGAGCUCGUAGGCGGCCUGUUGCGUCCGCUGUGAAAUCCCGGGGCUCAACCCCGGGCGUGCAGUGGAUACGGGCUGGCUGGAGGCAGGCAGGGGAGAACGGAAUUCCUGGUGUAGCGGUGAAAUGCGCAGAUAUCAGGAGGAACACCGGUGGCGAAGGCGGUUCUCUGGGCCUGUACUGACGCUGAGGUGCGAAAGCGUGGGGAGCAAACAGG
rnacentral:rRNA from 1 species